rnacentral:rRNA from 1 species
AAUAUUGGACAAUGGGGGUAACCCUGAUCCAGCCAUGCCGCGUGUGUGAAGAAGGUCNNNGGAUUNUAAAGCACUUUAAGUUGNGAANAAGGGCAGUAAGUUCAUACUUUGCUGUUUUGCCGUUACCGACAUAAUAAGCACCGGCUAAGUUCAUGCCAGCAGACGCGGUAAUACGAAGGGUGCAAGCGUUAAACGGAAUUACUGGGCGUAAAGCGCGCGUAGGUGGUUCGUUAAGUUGGAAGUGAAAGCCCCGGGCUUAACCUGGGAAUUGCUUUCAAAACUGACGAGCUAGAGUACGGUAGAGGGUAGUGGAAUUUCCUGUGUAGCGGUGAAAUGCGUAGAUAUAGGAAGGAACACCAGUGGCGAAGGCGACCACCUGGGCUAAUACUGACACUGAGGUGCGAAAGCGUGGGGAGCAAACAGG